AAAUGCGAUAAGUAAUGUGAAUUGCAGAAUUCAGUGAAUCAUCGAAUCUUAGAACGCACCUUGCGCUCCUUGGUAUUCCUUGGAGCAUGCCUGUUUGAGUAUCAUGAAAUCUUCAAAGUAAAUCUUUUGUUAACUCAAUUGGUUUCUACUUUGGUAUUGGAGGUCUUUGCAGCUUCACACCUGCUCCUCUUUGUUCAUUAGCUGGAUCUCAGUGUUAUGCUUGGUUCCACUCGGCGUGAUAAGUUAUCUAUCGCUGAGGACACUGUAAAAGGUGGCCAAGGUAAAUGCAGAUGAACCGCUUCUAAUAGUCCAUUGACUUGGACAAUACUUUUAUGAUCUGAUCUCAAAUCAGGUAGGACUACCCGCUGAACUUAAGC
rnacentral:misc_RNA from 1 species